AGUGAACGCUGGCGGUAGGCCUAACACAUGCAAGUCGAACGGAAGCACAGUAAGAUUGUGCUCUUACGGGUGGCGAGUGGCGGGCGGGUGAGGAGUGCAUCGGACUCUUCUUUUUCGGGGGGGAUAACGUAAGGAAGGUUACGAUAAUACAGCAUAUGCCCUACGGGUGAAAGCAGUGGAUAUUCGGAGCUUUCGGGGUUGAAUGAGCCGAUGGCGUGUUUGCUAGUUGGGGGGGUAAAGACCCAACCAGGCGAGGAUUCGUAGCUCGUGUGGGAGGAUGGUCGGCCACACUGGAACGUGGACACGGUCCAGACUCCUACGGUAGGCCGCAGUGGGGAAUAUUGGACAACGGGGGGAAACCUUAUCCAGCCAGACCGAGUGGGUUAAGGAGGCCUUCGGGGUGGAAAGACCUUUUGUUGGGAAAGAAAAGCAGCAGGUUGAUACGCCGCUGUUCUGACGGUACCCAAAGAAUAAGCACCGGCUAACUUCGUG
rnacentral:rRNA from 1 species